rnacentral:rRNA from 1 species
GAUGAACGCUGGCGGCGUGCCUAAUACAUGCAAGUCGAGCGAACAGACGAGGAGCUUGCUCCUUUGACGUUAGCGGCGGACGGGUGAGUAACACGUGGAUAACCUACCUAUAAGACUGGGAUAACUUCGGGAAACCGGAGCUAAUACCGGAUAACAUGUUGAACCGCAUGGUUCAACAGUGAAAGACGGUCUUUCUGUCACUUAUAGAUGGAUCCGCGCCGCAUUAGCUAGUUGGUAAGGUAACGGCUUACCAAGGCAACGAUGCGUAGCCGACCUGAGAGGGUGAUCGGCCACACUGGAACUGAGACACGGUCAAGACUCCUACGGGAGGCAGCAGUAGGGAAUCUUCCGCAAUGGGCGAAAGCCUGACGGAGCAACGCCGCGUGAGUGAAGAAGGUCUUCGGAUCGUAAAACUCUGUUAUUAGGGAAGAACAAAUGUGUAAGUAACUAUGCACGUCUUGACGGUACCUAAUCAGAAAGCCACGGCUAACUACGUG